AAACUUUCAACAACGGAUCUCUUGGUUCUGGCAUCGAUGAAGAACGCAGCGAAAUGCGAUAAGUAAUGUGAAUUGCAGAACUUCAGUGAAUCAUCGAAUCUUUGAACGCACAUUGCGCCCCCUGGUACUCCGGGGGGCAUGCCUGUUCGAGCGUCAUU
rnacentral:rRNA from 1 species